CCUACGGGAGGCAGCAGUCGAGAAUCAUUCACAAUGGGGGAAACCCUGAUGGUGCGACGCCGCGUGGGGGAAUGAAGGUCUUCGGAUUGUAAACCCCUGUCAUGUGGGAGCAAAUUAAAAAGAUAGUACCACAAGAGGAAGAGACGGCUAACUCUGUGCCAGCAGCCGCGGUAAUACAGAGGUCUCAAGCGUUGUUCGGAAUCACUGGGCGUAAAGCGUGCGUAGGCUGUUUCGUAAGUCGUGUGUGAAAGGCGCGGGCUCAACCCGCGGACGGCACAUGAUACUGCGAGACUAGAGUAAGGGAGGGGGAACCGGAAUUCUCGGUGUAGCAGUGAAAUGCGUAGAUAUCGAGAGGAACACUCGUGGCGAAGGCGGGUUCCUGGACAUUAACUGACGCUGAGGCACGAAGGCCAAGGGAGCGAAAGGGAUUAGAUACCCCAGUAGUC
rnacentral:rRNA from 1 species